AACGAACGCUGGCGGCGUGCCUAACACAUGCAAGUCGGACGCGAAAGGGGGCAACCCCCGGUAGCGUGGCAGACGGGUGAGUAACACGUGGGUAACCUGCCCGGAGGUGGGGGAUAACCCUUCGAAAGGAGGGCUAAUACCGCAUGACAUCCUCGGGUUUUCGAACCUGGGGAUCAAAGCUAGCCUCUACUUGUAAGCUAGCGCCACCGGAGGGACCCGCGGCCCAUUAGCUAGUUGGUGAGGUAACGGCUCACCAAGGCGACGAUGGGUAGCCGGCCUGAGAGGGCGAACGGCCACACUGGAACUGAGAAACGGUCCAGACUCCUACGGGAGGCAGCAGUGAGGAAUCUUGCGCAAUGGGCGAAAGCCUGACGCAGCGACGCCGCGUGGAGGAUGAAGGUCUUCGGAUUGUAAACUCCUGUGAGGUGGGACGAAUGCCGCGAGAGUUAACAGCUCCCGCGGUCGACGGUACCAUCAGAGGAAGCCCCGGCUAACUCCGUGCCAGCCGCCGCGGUAACAC
rnacentral:rRNA from 1 species